CCGGCCUCCCCGCGGCUCCCGCCCAGCCGGGCCUCCCUCCGCUCCUCCUCCUCAGCCUCCUCCCCUCGCGCGCCGCGCUGACAGGCGGCCUCGGCGGGGAGAGCGCAGGUACUUCGCGGGACCCAAGCAAGCCUUCGCGGCGCCCUGAUGUGUCUUGUCUUUGCGCCCUGCCUCCGGGAACGAAGACCCCACUUCUGAAACAACGAGACCUCGGAGCGCCCUGCGGAAGCCCGCGCCCGACGGGCGGCUGUGCGUCUGCUGUGCUUUCGUGCAGUUUAUUCGGGGCCUGUGUGGAAUGGGAAGCCAAUUCCUUAUUUGACUGGUAGGAGAGGGAAGCGAGGACUCCUCGGGGUUUCCGAGGACUGGAGCGGCGGCUUUGGUAGGAAUAAAAAGCAAGCGGUUCCUGGCCCUUGAUAUUCCAGUUACCGGCGUCUGACUGACAGACAGCAUGUCGGCACCAGCAGUGAAGGCAGUGAGGGGCUUUGGCUCCAGGUUCCUAUCCUGAGACCACAGCAGGAUGUGCCUUGGACAAAGGCUUGGACUCCUGGAUCAUCUGGUUACUUCAAGAAUCUGGUCUCAGGGUGGUGAACUUCUUCUUUGAAUUCCUAACCUGUGAGCUUAUGGUAAGAUUAUAAUUA